rnacentral:piRNA from 1 species
UGGGAUGAGGGUUUGGUCCAACAGGCAGUC